rnacentral:rRNA from 1 species
AGUGAACGCUGGCGGUAGGCCUAACACAUGCAAGUCGAACGGCAGCACAGUAAGAUCUUGCUCUUACGGGUGGCGAGUGGCGGACGGGUGAGGAAUACAUCGGAAUCUACUUUUUCGUGGGGGAUAACGUAGGGAAACUUACGCUAAUACCGCAUACGACCUACGGGUGAAAGCAGGGGAUCUUCGGACCUUGUGCGAUUGAAUGAGCCGAUGUCGGAUUAGCUAGUUGGCGGGGUAAAGGCCCACCAAGGCGACGAUCCGUAGCUGGUCUGAGAGGAUGAUCAGCCACACUAGAACUGAGACACGGUCAAGACUCCUACGGGAGGCAGCAGUGGGGAAUGUUGGACAGUGGGCGCGAGCCUGAUCCAGCCAUACCGCGUGGGUGAAAAAGGCCUUCGGGUUGUAAAGCCCUUUUGUUGGGAAAGAAAAGCAGCAGGUUAAUACCCCGCUGUUCUGACGGUACCCAAAGAAUAAGCACCGGCUAACUACGUG